ensembl:lincRNA
UAACAACAGGCGUCCUAACAACAGGUGUCCUAACAACAGGGGUCCUAACAACAGGCGUCCUAACAACAGGCGUCCUAACAACAGGGGUCCUAACAACAGGCGCCCUAACAACAGGCAUCCUAACAACAGGCAUCCUAACACUCCCACAGCCCCUCAGCAUCUACAGCCUCACUCCCACCCUACAACAUUUCAGAUAGGUGUCAUUAGCCCCAUUUUACAGAUGAACGAGGAAAACAGCUCGAAGGGGCUGUGACUUUGUGACGACUCGGUGGCAGAGCUGGGAUCGAGCCCGGGUUUGUAACACCCUCCUGGAGUCCUGGCCUUCACAGCAGCCUCCAGAGAGAAGGCCUGUGGCCUUCCUGGCAUUGGAAAGUGGUCAGCUACCUGUGUUCGGUCAGCAAGAUGCCCAACUCUUAGUUUGGUCUCACCUGGAUGCUUCUUUCUCCUCUAGAGAUGGAAAACUGUGGUCCUGAAAGUGUCACCAAACACAACCUGAGGAAAGGAAAGAACAGGAUCAGCUCAUCCAUCCAGAGCUGGAGGGACUGUUAGGGGACCAUACCACUUGCCCACGGUAUCCUGGGCGUGCAGGCUUUGGCCUUGGGCCAUGAACGGACUUUCAGCUUCUAGAAGCAAGUGAUCACAGGGCCUCCAUGACCCUCGGAGAUGGCACCACGGCGUCCGCUACCUAAUCCUCGCUGGACAAGGCUGGCUCUGCUCCGGAAUGCAGAAACCCCGAUUCCUCGUCCUGGGCCCCCACGGUGUCUGAGUGUCGGCAGUCCCUGCUCUGGGACCAGUCACUCCACAGACACCCCACGUUCAGGAUUCAAGUCUUGAGGAACCAGAAGCAGAGAUGCACACUGUGGCGAAGAGCGGAGCGGAGGUUCUCUGGCCCCUUCAGAGAACCGCACUUGGUUCGGGCCAGCCGCUGGAGGGGACAGGCUCACGUCUGCUUCUCACACUGCAACUCCUGGGCCGUGGAGCUUCCCCAGGGAGCCAGAGGAACUUUUGCGGCAGCCAUGAAGGGGACACGCUGGAGGAGGGUCCCCUGGGUGUCCCUGAGCUGCCUGUCUCUCUGCCUCCUUCCACAUGUGGUCCCAGGAAAAACCCGAGGCAAACAGACCAGAUGCUGGGAAUAAGCCUCAACCCACAGCACUUAGGAAGCCGCAGGCUCUGUUGUUUCUUCAGGGAGUGGCUUCACCCGUCUUGGAAUCUGCCUUCCGCCAUUGUCACUCAUGCUGCUGCCACACCUUCUCCCGAGCCAACAGCACACCUGUCACCUCGGCACACCUGUGGAGCCACCAGAGGGACCACCUGGGGAAAACCAUGCCUACUGCCACUCAGCCUUCACAUUCUUGGAGCCCUAAACGACAUGAGGCCGCUGCGGGGCGUCUCCCACCUGAGGCAGUUCAAGGAGAGAAAGGAACUACCUUGAUAGGAGAUCUCUGGCUGACGCGAUGGCAGAGGCUCGACGGAGGCUUCGAGGACUCAGAUGUGGGGAACGUCUCUACCUCAGUGCCAGCUCCAGUGCCCUCCUUGUCCCUGGAUGGAGCCUCCUCCUCUGAGAGAAUGUCUUAAAAACUCUCCAUUUUACUCGAUGACACACGUGUGUCUUCUCACAGUGACCUUGUCACCUUAAGGGGUCAACAGCCUUCACACUCACUCUAACAUCAUCCCAGAAAAGAGACACCAGGAACAUUGGCAAAAAUACCCGUGUCACAGCGUCCAUCCCAAGAAUGUGCCUGGCUCAGCCUCAGGCUCAGAGACCUCUGCAUGUGGCAGUCCAAGAAUCUGGGGCAAGGUCAGUGACCGUUUCUCCAUCCUUGCCUCAGUUCUCCACCCACUCGGUGGCAGUCCCAGAGCUGAGCAGCUCGCAGCUUCCGAGCAGCAGCUCUUACCCUGAGCCCCCCGCCCUGCCACUUCCAAGGCAGGUAAUAUCACUCAGUCUCUUCAAAUCUCGAUUUCCUCACCUGUGAGGUCGCUGUUAACAAGAUGAGCUGUAAAGCACGAACACGCGCACGAGCUGUGAACAUCUGCAUUAUUCAUGGAGUCAUAAUGUGCCCACGAGAAAAGGAAGAAGUCCUACCUCCCUGGUCUGCUCAUCACAAGUCAGCUGACCCUCAGUAACUCCAGACCCAACACAGAUGCAGAGUUUAAUUCAUGAGGUCUGGUAGGAAGAAAGUGAAUUUAUUAACCAAAACUAGCAAAGGGGAAGCAGCCAGAUUUCUACUUAAAGUAGCUGCUUUAAUUUUCAGUGGGGAAAGCAUGGGUUUCCAAAGGAAAGCCUUGAUAAGGAAGGCACGCAAGAAUCGGGCUGAGUCCUGUGUCCACGUGUCUUGUUCUGGUGGCUCUUUUGGGUCCCAGUCCGUCUGGACCUCGUGCUGACAUUUAUUUUAACAACGGCCGGAUUUUAAGGAGCUGUCUUGAAGUAAUUUCUGGGAUUUUGCAGGUGGGUUUCCAGAUAUGGUUUGUCUCUUUCAAGAUUUUAGCCCUUGAAACUUUUAGGAAGACACAUAGUUUGAUCCUCGCACAUAGUUAGGUAAAUGGAAGGGAGUGUAUACAGACGGCGAG